GCAGCCGCGGUAAUACGUAGGGGGCGAGCGUUGUCCGGAAUGACUGGGCGUAAAGGGCGUGUAGGCGGCCUGAUAAGAAUGAAGUGAAAGUCCUGCUUUCAAGGUGGGAAUUGCUUUGUUGACUGUCGGGCUUGAGUGCGGAAGAGGUAAGUGGAAUUCCCAGUGUAGCGGUGAAAUGCGUAGAGAUUGGGAAGAACACCAGUGGCGAAGGCGACUUACUGGGCCGUAACUGACGCUGAGGCGCGAAAGCGUGGGGAGCGAACAGGAUUAGAUACCCC
rnacentral:rRNA from 1 species